rnacentral:lncRNA from 1 species
AGCAUAAUCUGGAGUUUCUACCUUUCUCACCGAUGUUUAAAAAUUUUCCAGUGUGGAAAUAUGCUCAUACAUCUCAACUUUGAUCUGGUCAUGCAUCCUUAUGAAGUGAUGGUUCUUUGUGGUCAUUUGUGCCAGCUCCAAUUCCACAGGUCAUGUUACUCUUCAUGUAGGAAGAACUGUGCUUCUGCUGGGUACUGGAGCUGGAGCUGAGACUGCAACAAAUACAUGAUAAAAGCUAAGACGUGAGAUGGGAAAUUGGGAUGUAAGCUGGAGAAUGUCUCCAAUCAGACCAGGAGAGAAAGGGCCUACAGCAGAUGCCUCUGAAGAAC